AUACCCCUCAUUUCUUAGUUUCUUUUUAUCUACCCUCUGCUUCCCAUUUUAUCCCCAAUGAAAGUAAAAAAUUACUUUACUUUCCUUUCUCCAUUCCUUCAGUCCAAGAAACCCACAGUCUUUAGUUUCUGCACUCGGCUUUUCUAUUUUUCUUCAUUCCCCAGAAAACCCACACACAAUCUCAUUAAGAAAAAAAAAAUCCAUGCUCCAUCUCCUUGCAUCUCUUACCUCUUCUCUUGCAAACAUAUGAAAGACUAAGGAAAAAUUGUGUUUGAGGUGAGUGGUAGUUUUGCAGAGGAGCUUCACUUGGAAAGUUUGCAGCAUCAAAUAGAAAGUGAUCUUAUGCCAAGUGCCUGAUGUGACCAAAGUGAUUCUUAUGUUGCAAGGGAUUGGAAUGAGCUAGGGGUGACAAACUGUGGAAAUGAGACAAAACUCCUAAGUGGAUCAGUUAUCGAGGUGGAUUGUCCAAGGCAUUAUAUGUGGUGAAAGAUGUAUUAACUGGAAUGAGAAAACAAGUUCAUCUGCUGGACAUAACAACUUUACUGAUGCACCAUCCGUAUUGAUUUUUUUUUAAAUGUUUUCACUUCUUAAGGUCUGUUUCUUUCUUAUUUGGUUUCGGAUAAACACUAUUUAAAUGUUUUCACUUCUUAAUGUCUUUUUUUCUUUAAUUUUGUCAACGAUUAUCAUUAAUAAAGCUAGA